rnacentral:rRNA from 1 species
GGACUACUGGGGUAUCUAAUCCUGUUUGCUCCCCAUGCUUUCGCGCCUCAGCGUCAGUUUCAGCCCAGUAAACCGUCUUCACCACCGGUGUUCUUCCACAUAUCUACGCAUUUCACCGCUACACGUGGAAUUCCGUUUACCCUAACUGAACUCAAGUCUUAUAGUUUCAAAUGCAGCUCCGGGGUUGAGCCCCGCGAAUUUCACAUCUGACUUACAAGACCGCCUACGCGCCCUUUACGCCCAGUAAUUCCGAUCAAUGCUUGCACCCUCCGUAUUACCGCGGCUGCUGGCAC